rnacentral:rRNA from 1 species
GAGUGGCGAACGGGUGAGUAACACGUGGGUGAUCUGCCCUGCACUUCGGGAUAAGCCUGGGAAACUGGGUCUAAUACCGGAUAGGAGCCAUUUUUAGUGUGAUGGUUGGAAAGUUUUUUCGGUGUAGGAUGAGCUCGCGGCCUAUCAGCUUGUUGGUGGGGUAAUGGCCUACCAAGGCGGCGACGGGUAGCCGGCCUGAGAGGGUGGACGGCCACAUUGGGACUGAGAUACGGCCCAGACUCCUACGGGAGGCAGCAGUGGGGAAUAUUGCACAAUGGGCGCAAGCCUGAUGCAGCGACGCCGCGUGGGGGAUGACGGCCUUCGGGUUGUAAACUCCUUUCGCUAGGGACGAAGCUUUUUGUGACGGUACCUAGAUAAGAAGCACCGGCUAACUACGUGCCAGCAGCCGCGGUAAUACGUAGGGUGCGAGCGUUGUCCGGAAUUACUGGGCGUAAAGGGCUCGUAGGUGGUUUGUCGCGUCGUCUGUGAAAUUCCGGGGCUUAACUCCGGGCGUGCAGGCGAUACGGGCAUAACUUGAGUACUGUAGGGGUAACUGGAAUUCCUGGUGUAGCGGUGAAAUGCGCAGAUAUCAGGAGGAACACCGAUGGCGAAGGCAGGUUACUGGGCAGUUACUGACGCUGAGGAGCGAAAGCAUGGGUAGCGAACAGGAUUAGAUACCCUGGUAGUCCAUGCCGUAAACGGUGGGC